GGUGGAUUCUUAACCAGCUGAGUCACCAGGGAAGCCCAAGAAUAUUGGAGCGGGUAGUCUAUCCCUUCUCCAGUGGAUCUUUAAGACCCAGAUCCUAGAGUAAGUCUGCCACUCACGUAAGCAAGGAGAAGUUGUCGGUGGAUGGCACUCAUCAUUGUCGAUCUUCUUGGGAUCAAGUACAGGAUAAAGGACACUACAGCAGAGACAAGUUGUAACCAAGUGCUGAAGCUCCAAUACUUUGGCCACCUGAUGAGAAGAGCCGACUCAUUGGUAAAGAACCUGAUACUGGGAAAAAUGAAGGCAGGAGGAGAAGUGAGCAACAGAGGACGAGAUGGUUGGAUGGCAUCACCGACUCACUGGACAUGAGUUUGAGCAAGUUCCGGGAGAUGGUGAAGGACAGGGAAGCCUGGAAUGCUGCAGUCCAUGGGGUUGCAAAGAGUUGGACAUGACUGAGUGAUUGAACAGAACUGAAGGUUUCCUACAUAAAUCAUUUCUCUUAAUCCUCAAAACACACAGGAAGUAUAGAUUACUGUUAGAGAGUGUAUGGAUAAUGAAAACUAGAUUUUAUGAGUGAAUAAGUCACCCAAGUAACAGAGC
ensembl:lncRNA